rnacentral:rRNA from 1 species
CACGUAGGGCGCAAGCGUUGUCCGGAAUUAUUGGGCGUAAAGAGCUCGUAGGCGGUCCGUCACGUCCGCUGUGAAAACCCAGGGCUCAACCCCGGACUUGCAGUGGGUACGGGCAGACUAGAGUGUGGUAGGGGAGACUGGAAUUCCUGGUGUAGCGGUGAAAUGCGCAGAUAUCAGGAGGAACACCGAUGGCGAAGGCAGGUCUCUGGGCCGAUACUGACGCUGAGGAGCGAAAGCGUGGGGAGCGAACAGG